AGUGAACGCUGGCGGUAGGCCUAACACAUGCAAGUCGAACGGCAGCACAGUAAGAGCUUGCUCUUACGGGUGGCGAGUGGCGGACGGGUGAGGAGUACAUCGGAAUCUACUUUUUCGUGGGGGAUAACGUAGGGAAACUUACGCUAAUACCGCAUACGACCUACGGGUGAAAGCAGGGGAUCUUCGGACCUUGCGCGAUUGAAUGAGCCGAUGUCGGAUUAGCUAGUUGGCGGGGUAAAGGCCCACCAAGGCGACGAUCCGUAGCUGGUCUGAGAGGAUGAUCAGCCACACUGGAACUGAGACACGGUCCAGACUCCUACGGGAGGCAGCAGCGGGGAAUAUUGGACAAUGGGCGCAAGCCUGAUCCAGCCAUACCGCGUGGGUGAAGAAGGCCUUCGGGUUGUAAAGCCCUUUUGUUGGGAAAGAAAAGCAGCAGGUUAAUACCCCGCUGUUCUGACGGUACCCAAAGAAUAAGCACCGGCUAACUUCGUG
rnacentral:rRNA from 1 species